AUACUUACCUGGCAGGGGAGAUACCAUGAUCACGAAGGUGGUUUCCCCAGGGCGAGGCUAACCCAUUGCACUCAGGGUGUGCUGACGUCUGCGAUUUCCCCAUAUGUGGCAAACUAGAUUGCAUAAUUUGUGGUAGUGAGGGACUGUGUUUACGCUCUUCCCUG